UCCACAUACAGGUGGGUCUAUAGUUUCCAAAGAUAGAAACCUGGAAGAAACUAGGUCAUCAAGUUCAACAAUCUUAUUUUACAACUGAGGGAACUGAGUCCUACAGAAGUCAAGUGAUUUUCUGGCCAGAGGGCAAAACUAGGAGCAACAGACGGAAGCUGUGAAGAGAAACAGAUACAUCUAACAUCCCUGAACUGAAGAAAACAUGAGCCCAUAAACACAUAGUAAGGGCUACCUAGGCCUAUGCUAAAUCGACUAUAAAUCAUUUGAAAUAUAAAGAGAGACAGACAGACAGACAUAGGAAAAGUCAGAAGGACUACAGGACUCCACAUCCUGGCUGCACAACUCCGGGAUUUUUCUGACUGACAUGCUCCAAGAAGCUUAUUAUUGGGAUCACCUCAUCACCCUGUAAGAUGUCAUAAGCCUUCCAACUCUACCUUUUCAUGUCCCCCUGCCUCUGAUUGAGGGUGAAGCUGUGAACUCAGAAGCCCAACUCAGCUUGUUUCUCAUCUGGCUGUACUUGGUGACUUCUCUGACCUCUUCACCAUGCCCCUGAAUGGGGGUACCUUCACCUUUUCUCCCUUCCACUCCCU